rnacentral:rRNA from 1 species
AGAGUUUGAUCCUGGCUCAGGACGAACGCUGGCGGCGUGCUUAACACAUGCAAGUCGAGCGGAAAGGCCCCUUCGGGGGUACUCGAGCGGCGAACGGGUGAGUAACACGUGGGUAAUCAACCCUUGACAUCGGGAUACCUCGGGGAAACCCGGAUCAGUACCGAAUAAGGUGCGGAGACGCAGGUCGCCGUACCAAAGGUAGCUUCGGCCUCCGGUCAGGGACGAGCCCGCGGCCCAUUAGCUAGUUGGUGGGGUAACGGCCUACCAAGGCGACGAUGGGUAGCUGGUCUGAGAGGAUGAUCAGCCACACUGGGACUGAGACACGGCCCAGACUCCUACGGGAGGCAGCAGGGGGGAAUCUUGCGCAAUGGGCGAAAGCCUGACGCAGCAACGCCGCGUGCGGGAAGAAGCCUUAGGGUCGUAAACCGCUUUCAGUGGGGACGAAGCUUCCGAGGUUAAUAGCCUACGGGGCGACGGUACCCACAGAAGAAGCCCCGGCUAACUACGUGCCAGCAGCCGCGGUAAUACGUAGGGGGCGAGCGUUGUCCGGAAUCAUUGGGCGUAAAGAGCGUGUAGGCGGCUGGUAGGUUUCGUGUUAAAUCUGCGGCUCACCGCAACUGUCGCGGGAAACCCCUCGCUAAGUCCGAAGAGAAACCGAAUUCUGUGUACCGUA